UGGUGUAGCACAGCCGGUAGUGCAGCUGAUUCGUAAUCAGCAGGUCGAUGGUUCAAAUCCGUUCACC
rnacentral:tRNA from 1 species